CACCAUUUCGCUGUUCCGCCAACUGACGAAUUUAUCAUUCAUAUAUUAAAUGAAAAGGAUUAAGUCAUUUUGGGUACGCAAUAUUACUAAGAUAUUAUGCCACCCCCAAGACCGAGGGGAGUGGGAUAUAAUACAGGAGUCACAACAUCUAGGCCCAGCCCGAAUACACCGAUGUCUGAGAGACAGCAAAUGGCACUGCUUAUUCAGAUGACGGCGAACUCGACGACAGAGGCCUCAAGAGCGCAC